rnacentral:rRNA from 1 species
CCUACGGGUGGCAGCAGUGAGGAAUAUUGGUCAAUGGAUGAGAGUCUGAACCAGCCAAGUAGCGUGAAGGAUGACUGCCCUAUGGGUUGUAAACUUCUUUUAUAUGGGAAUAAAAUGUUCCACGUGUGGGAUUUUGUAUGUACCAUAUGAAUAAGGAUCGGCUAACUCCGUGCCAGCAGCCGCGGUAAUACGGAGGAUCCGAGCGUUAUCCGGAUUUAUUGGGUUUAAAGGGAGCGUAGGUGGAUUGUUAAGUCAGUUGUGAAAGUUUGCGGCUCAACCGUAAAAUUGCAGUUGAAACUGGCAGUCUUGAGUACAGUAGAGGUGGGCGGAAUUCGUGGUGUAGCGGUGAAAUGCUUAGAUAUCACGAAGAACUCCGAUUGCGAAGGCAGUUCACUGGACUGCAACUGACACUGAGGCUCGAAAGUGUGGGUAUCAAACAGGAUUAGAUACCCUAGUAGUC